UACGUAGGGUCCGAGCGUUGUCCGGAAUUAUUGGGCGUAAAGGGCUCGUAGGCGGUUCGUCACGUCGGGAGUGAAAACUCGGAGCUUAACUCCGAGCCUGCUUCCGAUACGGGCAGACUAGAGGUAGGCAGGGGAGAGCGGAACUCCUGGUGUAGCGGUGGAAUGCGCAGAUAUCAGGAAGAACACCGGUGGCGAAGGCGGCUUCCUGGUCCAGCAUCGACGUCAGGCACGGAAAGCGUGGGGAGCAAACAGG
rnacentral:rRNA from 1 species